UGUUAAAAAUUUCAUUGAUCUAUACUAUUAAAAACUAACAUGCCUAAUGGAAUAACCAAUAGAGACAUGUGACAUGCCACUUGUACCUCAUGUUGAUGUACAUAGACUAGUUUUUAACUGUAGAAAUGGAUAGAAUUUUUAAUA
rnacentral:pre_miRNA from 1 species